rnacentral:rRNA from 1 species
UGGGGAAUUUUGGACAAUGGGCGAAAGCCUGAUCCAGCGAUGCCGCGUGUGUGAAGAAGGCCUUCGGGUUGUAAAGCACUUUUGUCCGGAAAGAAAUCCUCUGGGUUAAUACCUCGGGGGGAUGACGGUACCGGAAGAAUAAGCACCGGCUAACUACGUGCCAGCAGCCGCGGUAAUACGUAGGGUGCAAGCGUUAAUCGGAAUUACUGGGCGUAAAGCGUGCGCAGGCGGUUUUGUAAGACGGAUGUGAAAUCCCCGGGCUUAACCUGGGAACUGCAUUCGUGACUGCAAGGCUAGAGUAUGGCAGAGGGGGGUAGAAUUCCACGUGUAGCAGUGAAAUGCGUAGAGAUGUGGAGGAAUACCGAUGGCGAAGGCAGCCCCCUGGGCCAAUACUGACGCUCAUGCACGAAAGCGUGGGGAGCAAACAGGAUUAGAUACCCUGGUAGUCCACGCCCUAAACGAUGUCAACUAGUUGUUGGGGAUUCAUUUCCUUAGUAACGUAGCUAACGCGUGAAGUUGACCGCCUGGGGAGUACGGUCGCAAGAUUAAAACUCAAAUGAAUUGACGGGGUCAUAGCUGUUUCCU